CGGGAAAAGCUCAAAUUUAAAAUCUGGCGGCUUCGUCGUCCGAGUUGUAAUUUAGAGAAGUGUUAUCCGCGUUGGACCGUGUACAAGUCUCCUGGAACGGAGCGUCAUAGAGGGUGAGAAUCCCGUCUUUGACACGGACUACCAAGGCUUUGUGAUGCGCUCUCGAA
rnacentral:rRNA from 1 species